rnacentral:rRNA from 1 species
CUAAUGAUACAUACCAGCUUGACAAUGCCCAGUCUUGUCCGUUCUCAGAAAGCUAAGCAGGGUUGGGCCUUGGUUAGUACUUGGAUCACAAACUUCUGGGAAUAUCAGGAGC